AUUGAACGCUGGCGGCAUGAUUUACACAUGCAAGUCGAACGGUAACAGGCCGCAAGGUGCUGACGAGUGGCGAACGGGUGAGUAAUGCAUCGGAACGUGCCCAGUCGUGGGGGAUAACUACUCGAAAGAGUAGCUAAUACCGCAUACGAUCUAUGGAUGAAAGCGGGGGACCGUAAGGCCUCGCGCGAUUGGAGCGGCCGAUGUCAGAUUAGGUAGUUGGUGGGGUAAAGGCUCACCAAGCCAACGAUCUGUAGCUGGUCUGAGAGGACGACCAGCCACACUGGGACUGAGACACGGCCCAGACUCCUACGGGAGGCAGCAGUGGGGAAUUUUGGACAAUGGGCGCAAGCCUGAUCCAGCAAUGCCGCGUGCAGGAAGAAGGCCUUCGUGUUGUAAACUGCUUUUGUACGGAACGAAACGGCUCUGGUUAAUACCCGGGGCUAAUGACGGUACCGUAAGAAUAAGCACCGGCUAACUACGUG
rnacentral:rRNA from 1 species